AACACAGACCAGGCCCCUCGCAGACAGGACAGGGUCAAAAGUCACAGCUUAACAGGGCUGCCCAUUGUCUCCUGACAGGUUGGGCACAUCCAGCGAUGAAAAUGCACUCAAAACAAACAGAGUCCUGAAAUCUGGGGAGACAAGUGAGAGGGGCUUCUCCACUAUCUUCAUUAAUCAGAGGCCAGAUUAGACCUACUGAUAGGAGCUGGAUUAGUCUCAAAACAACCGUCUCUGCAGGUAUACCCACAUGUGCUCAAGGGCUAAGACCUAACAAUAUAGUGCCCACAAGCAAAGGGGCGGCGUCAAUGCCAACAUGCUGACCAAUCCCUGACAACAACUGGACAUGGUAUCAUACCCACUCAGUUGCUAGGAUAUAGAUAUCAAGCAACAACCCCCACCCAUUCCAUUCCUAGUCCAUGUCCCCAGCGAUGUCUGUCUAAGCACUAACCUGAAAAGCACAUUCCGCUGUCCAUUCGCUGGCUGCCGUUUCUAUCCAGAAUCCCAGGAGCUUUCAGCGAUGCGUGGUGAUUGCAUCACACUAGCCGCUAACUUCUAUUUUAACCUGACCAGGUGAAAAAGAUGUCACAUCAAAUAGCCCUCGGUGACCACGGUGGCUUCCUGACCUGUCAAUAGGGCUGAAUCUCUGUGUUAGAAGUUUAUCGCCCUGCAUCCCUUCAUCCGCUAACAUGCAGAGCAAGCACCCGUGACAUGACAGGCUAAUCUUAAUUGGCAGAUUCCUGCUCUCAUUGAAUAAGAUGA